GAUGAAGAACGCAGCGAAAUGCGAUAAGUAAUGUGAAUUGCAGAAUUCAGUGAAUCAUCGAAUCUUUGAACGCACAUUGCGCCCGCCAGUAUUCUGGCGGGCAUGCCUGUUCGAGCGUCAUUACAACCCUCAGGCCCCCGGGCCUGGCGUUGGGGAUCAGCGGAAGCCCCCUGUGGGCACACGCCGUCCCUCAAAUACAGUGGCGGUCCCGCCGCAGCUUCCAUUGCGUAGUAGCUAACACCUCGCAACUGGAGAGCGGCGCGGCCAUGCCGUAAAACACCCAACUUCUGAAUGUUGACCUCGAAUCAGGUAGGAAUACCCGCUGAACUUAAGCAUAUCAAUAAGCGGAGGA
rnacentral:misc_RNA from 1 species